GAUUUCAACUGAAAAAAUCAUCAACAACAAAGUUCAAUAACUCAUAAAGAUCUAAAACUUUUCUUUUGGUCAUUUCUUUCUCUGAUAAAGUGAUAGUAAUAUUGAUCACAAAAUCGACAUAUCUCUUAUCUGGUUUUAUAAAAUAUUACACAGAUGUGUAAAUUUUGUGAACAAUGUUACUAACACUUUGUCGGAUGAAAAAAUGACAAAAAGUAAAAGUUUUAGAUCUUAAUGAGUUAUACAACUUUGUUGUUGAUGACUUUUUUAGUUGAAAUC
rnacentral:pre_miRNA from 1 species